GCCAAGUCCUUGCUGGGCUUGGGCCUCGGUUUCCCGGACAGUGGGUCUGACUGGACAAGGGCUGAGAGAGAGUUCACACCGACCUGAGUCCCCAGGGCAGGGCCCUUCGAGGGACUCUCUGCUCCCCCAAUCGUCGCCCUCUGUCCCAGAUCACCAGCGAUGUGGAGAGGUACGCCUUCCAGUUCGAGACCAAGACCAGCUCCAGCGACAGCACCGUGGUCCUCUACCUGGACAGCCUCUCCCACAAGGAGAACACGGUGCUGGGAUUCCGGGUGCACAAGAUGCUGGAGACCGAGUUCUUGCAGGCUGCCGAAGUCACCAUCUACGACUACUACGAGCCUUGUGAGCAGGGACCGGGGCUGGACAGGAGACCGCGAGGGGUGGGGCGAGGCCUGCAGGGGACAGAGGCAGGAAAGCGGGGUGGGAUAAGAGACAGGUGGCCGAGAGGAGCCUAGGCGUAGACGGUCUACCAAAAGGGCAUCUCAUCAGGAGGCAUGAAGUGGGCGGGGCAGUAAGGGGCGGAGCCUGUAGGGGCGGGGCCAGGAGGAGCUGAAGAUAUAAGAGGCGGGGCCAGGAGGGAGCCUAU